CAAAUUCCCGCACUAUGGGGAUAUCCUCAAUUCUAGGGGCGUCAUCCUCACCCCGCAACACAACAGUAGCCAAGUAGGCUACGCAGCCUCUACUAAUCAACUCCCUAGCUCGAGAGGAGCUAAUCGUCAUCGCAAACAGCGAACUCUGGCAUCCUCGGUACACAACCUCUGCCUACCCCGGCUCUCUAAACGUCACAGUUCGAUUCUUGCAAUCAAUU
rnacentral:lncRNA from 1 species